AUUGAACGCUGGCGGCAUGCCUUACACAUGCAAGUCGAACGGUAACAGGUCUUCGGAUGCUGACGAGUGGCGAACGGGUGAGUAAUACAUCGGAACGUGCCUAGUAGUGGGGGAUAACUACUCGAAAGAGUGGCUAAUACCGCAUGAGAUCUACGGAUGAAAGCAGGGGAUCGCCAGACCUUGUGCUACUAGAGCGGCCGAUGGCAGAUUAGGUAGUUGGUGGGAUAAAAGCUUACCAAGCCGACUAUCUGUAGCUGGUCUGAGAGGACGAUCAGCCACACUGGGACUGAGACACGGCCCAGACUCCUACGGGAGGCAGCAGUGGGGAAUUUUGGACAAUGGGCGCAAGCCUGAUCCAGCAAUGCCGCGUGCAGGAUGAAGGCCUUCGGGUUGUAAACUGCUUUUGUACGGAACGAAAAGCCCUGGGUUAAUACCCUGGGGUCAUGACGGUACCGUAAGAAUAAGCACCGGCUAACUACGUGCCAGCCGCCGCAGUAACAC
rnacentral:rRNA from 1 species